AUCCACUCCCAGUGUUCCUGAGGGGGUUUCUGUACAGAUGCCCGAUGACCAAGAGGAAGGACUUGCACACCAACAACAGCCAGCGACUGGAAGACUCGAAACAUCUUCUCGUCAGAGAGAUGGAAGGAAGCCAGACAACAGCUUGUGGAUAAUAUGCUCAGAGCAAACUGCAUCAAACCACAGCUCUGUCAGAGAUGCUUAAAGAAGGACGCCACAAUCAGAUGUGCUGAAUGCAUGCCCAUGCAAUAUUACUGCUGUGAUUGUGACAUUAGCCAUCAUCAGUCCCAAGCACUUCACAAUCGGGCAUCCAGGAUUCAUGGCUUCCACAAGCCACUGCCGCCAACAGUUGUGGAGAAAGAUGAUGCUGAUGGGCACUAUUCUCAUCACAUAUGUGUAAGAAUAUUGCCAAUGGAAAUGCCAGACAAGUUUUGU